rnacentral:rRNA from 1 species
AACGAACGCUGGCGGUAUGCCUAACACAUGCAAGUCGCACGAGAAAGUACUUCGGUAUGAGUAGAGUGGCGCACGGGUGAGUAACACGUAGGUGACCUUCCGAAUAGUGGGGGAUAACUCGGAGAAAUCCGGGCUAAUACCGCAUAUGUACGACAAAUCUGAGAGUAGUCGUAGAAAGAAUGCCUCUACUUGUAAGCAUUCGCUAAUCGAUGGGCCUGCGGAGCAUUAGCUUGUUGGUGGGGUAAUGGCCUACCAAGGCUACGAUGCUUAACGGAUCUGAGAGGAUGAUCCGUCACACUGGAACUGAGACACGGUCCAGACUCCUACGGGAGGCAGCAGUGGGGAAUAUUGCGCAAUGGACGCAAGUCUGACGCAGCAAUACCGCGUGAGUGAGGAAGGCCUUCGGGUUGUAA